GGCUUACCGUGGCAGUGACGGUUAACGGGGGAUUAGGGUUCGAUUCCGGAGAGGGAGCCUGAGAAACGGCUACCACAUCUAAGGAAGGCAGCAGGCGCGCAAAUUACCCAAUUCUAACAGCAUAAGAGAGGUAGUGACAAGAAAUAACAAUACAAGGUAAUUAAAUUGCUUUGUAAUUGGAAUGAUAGAAAUUUAAACACUUUUUAAAGUAUCAAUUGGAGGGCAAGUCUGGUGCCAGCAGCCGCGGUAAUUCCAGCUCCAAUAGCGUAUAUUAAAAUUGUUGCAGUUAAAAAGCUCGUAGUUGAAUUUCUGUUAAAAAUAACCGGUCUGCUUUUAUUAAAAGUGGUAUCUUGGUGUGUUUUUAGCAAUAAUGUCCUUUGAAAUGUUUUUUACUUUAUUGUAAUAAGUCAUUAUUUUGAGGAUUUUUACUUUGAGAAAAUUAGAGUGUUUCUAGCAGGCUUACGCUUUUGAAUACUGCAGCAUGGAAUAAUAAGAUAGGAUUUUAGUUCUACAUUAUUGGUUUUAAGAACUAAAUUAAUGAUUGAUAGGGAUAGUUGGGGGC
rnacentral:rRNA from 1 species